AUGGACCAUUCCAUCCCUUUUUCCUGUGCAUAUGCAUCGGAUUCGGAUGACGAAGGUCCCGAUGAACAAGUUGAUGAGGAGGGGUUCACGGUGAAGGAGGCCGAAGCUUUCGAGAAGGUAUUUGGCCGGGAUCACAAGACACCAUUGUUCAAGGAUGUUAGUCUCGCGGAUGAAGCCGUUGUGGAUGGUGGCAAAUCUAUAUCUCUUGGGGUUAGGCCAAGCUCUCAC
rnacentral:rRNA from 1 species